rnacentral:rRNA from 1 species
AACAAACGCUGGCGGCGUGCCUAACACAUGCAAGUCGUACGAGAAAGGGUCCUUCGGGACCUGAGUAAAGUGGCGCACGGGUGAGUAACGCGUGGAUAAUCUGCCCUUCAGUUGGGAACAACUCAUCGAAAGGUGGGCUAAUACCGAAUAACACUGUGAGACUUUGGACGAGCAGUCAAAGAGAGCCUCUGCUUGCAAGCCCUCGCUGAAGGAUGAGUCCGCGUACCAUUAGCUAGUUGGCAGGGUAAUGGCCUACCAAGGCGACGAUGGUUAGCUGGUCUGAGAGGAUGAUCAGCCACACUGGAACUGAGAUACGGUCCAGACUCCUACGGGAGGCAGCAGUGAGGAAUCUUGCGCAAUGGGGGAAACCCUGACGCAGCAACGCCGCGUGAGUGAGGAAGGUCUUCGGAUCGUAAAGCUCUGUCAGUUGGGAAGAAAUGCCUGAGGGUUAAUACCCUUCAGGCUUGACGGUACCAACAGAGGAAGCACCGGCUAACUCCGUGCCAGCAGCCGCGGUAAUACGGGGGGUGCAAGCGUUGUUCGGAAUUAUUGGGCGUAAAGAGCGUGUAGGCGGCCGGAUGUGUCAGAUGUGAAAGCCCUGGGCUUAACCCAGGAAGUGCAUUUGAAACUGUCCGGCUUGAGUAUGGGAGAGG